CCUACGGGGUGCAGCAGUCGAGAAUCAUUCACAAUGGGGGAAACCCUGAUGGUGCGACGCCGCGUGGGGGAAUGAAGGUCUUCGGAUUGUAAACCCCUGUCAUGUGGGAGCAAAUUAAAAAGAUAGUACCACAAGAGGAAGAGACGGCUAACUCUGUGCCAGCAGCCGCGGUAAUACAGAGGUCUCAAGCGUUGUUCGGAAUCACUGGGCGUAAAGCGUGCGUAGGCUGUUUCGUAAGUCGUGUGUGAAAGGCGCGGGCUCAACCCGCGGACGGCACAUGAUACUGCGAGACUAGAGUAAUGGAGGGGGAACCGGAAUUCUCGGUGUAGCAGUGAAAUGCGUAGAUAUCGAGAGGAACACUCGUGGCGAAGGCGGGUUCCUGGACAUUAACUGACACUGAGGCACGAAGGCCAGGGGAGCAAACAGGAUUAGAUACCCCAGUAGUC
rnacentral:rRNA from 1 species